rnacentral:rRNA from 1 species
GAUGAACGCUGGCGGCGUGCCUAAUACAUGCCAGUCGAGCGAACGGACGAGAAGCUUGCUUCUCUGAUGUUAGCGGCGGACGGGUGAGUAACACGUGGAUAACCUACCUAUAAGACUGGGAUAACUUCGGGAAACCGGAGCUAAUACCGGAUAAUAUUUUGAACCGCAUGGUUCAAAAGUGAAAGACGGUCUUGCUGUCACUUAUAGAUGGAUCCGCGCUGCAUUAGCUAGUUGGUAAGGUAACGGCUUACCAAGGCAACGAUGCAUAGCCGACCUGAGAGGGUGGUCGGCCAGACUGGAACUGAGACACGGUGCAGACACCUACAGGAGGCAGCAGUAGGGAAUCUUCCGCAAUGGGCGAAAGCCGGACGGAGCAACGCCGCGUGAGUGAUGAAGGUCUUCGGAUCGGAAAACUCUGUUAUUAGGGAAGAACAUAUGUGUAAGUAACUGUGCACAUCUUGACGGUACCUAAGCAGAAAGCCACGGCUAACUACGUG